rnacentral:rRNA from 1 species
GGAAAGUCGCGCAGUAAAGGGUGAUAGCCCCGUACACUAAAAUGCACAGGUCGUGAGUUCGAUGAGUAGGGCGGGACACGUGACAUCCUGUCUGAAUAUGGGGGGACCAUCCUCCAAGGCUAAAUACUCCUGACUGACCGAUAGUGAACCAGUACCGUGAGGGAAAGGCGAAAAGAACCCCGGCGAGGGGAGUGAAAUAGAACCUGAAACCGUGUACGUACAAGCAGUGGGAGCACCUUCGUGGUGUGACUGCGUACCUUUUGUAUAAUGGGUCAGCGACUUAUAUUUUGUAGCAAGGUUAACCGUAUAGGGGAGCCGUAGGGAAACCGAGUCUUAACUGGGCGAUUAGUUGCAAGGUAUAGACCCGAAACCCGGUGAUCUAGCCAUGGGCAGGUUGAAGGUUGGGUAACACUAACUGGAGGACCGAACCGACUAAUGUUGAAAAAUUAGCGGAUGACUUGUGGCUGGGGGUGAAAGGCCAAUCAAACCGGGAGAUAGCUGGUUCUCCCCGAAAGCUAUUUAGGUAGCGCCUCGUGAACUCAUCUUCGGGGGUAGAGCACUGUUUCGGCUAGGGGGCCAUCCCGGCUUACCAAACCGAUGCAAACUCCGAAUACCGAAGAAUGUUAUCACGGGAGACACACGGCGGGUGCUAACGUCCGUCGUGAAGAGGGAAACAACCCAGACCGCCAGCUAAGGUCCCAAAGUCAUGGUUAAGUGGGAAACGAUGUGGGAAGGCAUAGACAGCCAGGAUGUUGGCUUAGAAGCAGCCAUCAUUUAAAGAAAGCGUAAUAGCUCACUGGUCGAGUCGGCCUGCGCGGAAGAUGUAACGGGGCUAAACCAUGCACCGA